CCUACGGGAGGCUGCAGUGAGGGAUAUUGGUCAAUGGGGGAAACCCUGAACCAGCAACGCCGCGUGAGGGAAGACGGUUUUCGGAUUGUAAACCUCUGUCCUCUGUGAAGAUAAUGACGGUAGCAGAGGAGGAAGCCCCGGCUAACUACGUGCCAGCAGCCGCGGUAAUACGUAGGGGGCAAGCGUUAUCCGGAUUUACUGGGUGUAAAGGGAGCGCAGGCGGCGUGGCAAGUCAGAUGUGAAAACCCGGGGCCCAACCCCGGGAGUGCAUUUGAAACUGCCAUGUUGGAGUGCCGGAGAGGUAAGCGGAAUUCCUAGUGUAGCGGUGAAAUGCGUAGAUAUUAGGAGGAACACCAGUGGCGGUGGCGGCUUACUGGACGGUAACUGACGCUGAGGCUCGAAAGCGUGGGGAGCAAACAGGAUUAGAUACCCGAGUAGUC
rnacentral:rRNA from 1 species